rnacentral:lncRNA from 1 species
GGGAAGUCUGGUAGUCAAUUGAUACUUCUUUGACCUCCAGGGGUGUUAAAAUUUCAAGGAAAUUCUAUUGAAAAAUUGAAUGGUUUACCUAGUUGGUUGGUUCUGUCAUCCUACAUCAAAUGCAACGUGUUUGUUGUUAGAUUUUAUUUUGGUUACUUGAAUUCAACUUUUUUUUUUUUUAACAUUUAGCUAGAACUUGUGGGUAGUUAAAGAUGGUAAAUUCAGUCGCGACUCUGGUUUAAGUUGGCUAGCUCUACUCAUGUUCAUAUUUCUAUAUAAUUAGCCUCGUCUGCCUGCAUAGCUGUAACUGUGUUGUCGAAAGCAUUUCCGCA